rnacentral:rRNA from 1 species
AGAGAGAAGCUUGCUUCUCUUGAGAGCGGCGGACGGGUGAGUAAUGCCUAGGAAUCUGCCUAGUGGUGGGGGAUAACGUUCGGAAACGGACGCUAAUACCGCAUACGUCCUACGGGAGAAAGCGGGGGACCUUCGGGCCUCGCGCCAUUAGAUGAGCCUAGGUCGGAUUAGCUAGUUGGUGAGGUAAAGGCUCACCAAGGCGACGAUCCGUAACUGGUCUGAGAGGAUGAUCAGUCACACUGGAACUGAGACACGGUCCAGACUCCUACGGGAGGCAGCAGUGGGGAAUAUUGGACAAUGGGCGAAAGCCUGAUCCAGCCAUGCCGCGUGUGUGAAGAAGGUCUUCGGAUUGUAAAGCACUUUAAGUUGGGAGGAAGGGUAGUAACUUAAUACGUUGCUACUUUGACGUUACCGACAGAAUAAGCACCGGCUAACUUCGUGCCAGCAGCCGCGGUAAUACGAAGGGUGCAAGCGUUAAUCGGAAUUACUGGGCGUAAAGCGC